rnacentral:misc_RNA from 1 species
CAUUGUUCAACACUUGUUCGCUAUUAAUCGAUGUUGGCACAUCACUAGACAGUAAGAAGUACGACGCGUUCUGCUAUGUGAGUGUAUGUGAAUUGUGCGCGUUGGUGGCGAAAAUUAACAUUAUACAUAAAACAAGUUGGAAUUUUAAAUGCCAAAUAUUAUAAAACGAUUGUGCAAGUGUGCUGGCAACAUACAACAAUAAAAUUAGCAGCCAAUCAGGCGGUGUGCCAAAGGAGAUUGAAACCAAUGCGUCAAAAUCGUGCUGAGGUCCUCGAUUCAGAUACAGAUACUGACAAUGACAAUCGCAAUGAUGAUGGUCAGCAGCCCAGUCACCGAUUUGACAUUGUGCACGCGGUUGAGCCAGUAGGGAGUAUUGGAGUUGGGAAACCAAGUCAAUUAUUUAGCCACGAAGACGACGAAUAAUAAUAAUAACAAUAACAACAACAACAACAACAACAACAACAACAAAG